GCUGAUGUAGCUCAGUUGGCUAGAGCAGCUGAUUUGUAAUCAGCAGGUCGUAGGUUCAACUCCUAUCAUCAGCUCCA
rnacentral:tRNA from 2 species